CCCUCGGUUCCUUUGUACUGGAGGAGUGAGUCCCUAUGCUGACCCCAAUACUUGCAGAGGUGAUUCUGGCGGCCCCUUGAUAGUUCACAAGAGAAGUCGUUUCAUUCAAGUGAGUCCUCCCUUUCCUAUCUGGGGAGAUGCCAAGUGGUCAGCAUGGGCCCCAAAGCAGGAAAGCUCAAUGCAUGUGGCUAGUAAUUCGAGGUAGGCAGAGCCUGCCUCACCUUAGGACCGCAUGUCUUGCCUGCGUGUGUCAAGAACGAGGCUGAGCUGGGUCCCUAGUCUGAUUCCUUUAGGUCAGCUAAGACGCAAGCAGGAACAGCCAUGCUUCCAGGAUUAGGAAUUCUACUGAAUGAUCCAUGGCACCCCACUGCCUCUGCAGGUUGGUGUAAUCAGCUGGGGAGUAGUGGAUGUCUGCAAAAACCAGAAGCGGCAAAAGCAGGUACCUGCUCACGCCCGAGACUUUCACAUCAACCUCUUUCAAGUGCUGCCCUGGCUGAAGGAGAAACUCCAAGAUGAGGAUUUGGGUUUUCUAUAAGGGGUUUCCUGCUGGACAGGGGCGUGGGAUUGAAUUAAAACAGCUGCGACAACA
rnacentral:lncRNA from 1 species